rnacentral:rRNA from 1 species
AACGAACGCUGGCGGCAUGCCUAACACAUGCAAGUCGAACGAGACCUUCGGGUCUAGUGGCGCACGGGUGCGUAACGCGUGGGAACCUGCCCUUAUGUUCGGAAUAACUCCCCGAAAGGGGUGCUAAUACCGGAUAAUGUCUUCGGACCAAAGAUUUAUCGCCUUUGUAUGGGCCCGCGUUGGAUUAGCUAGUUGGUAGGGUAAAAGCCUACCAAGGCGACGAUCCAUAGCUGGGCUGAGAGGAUGGGCAGCCACACUGGGACUGAGACACGGCCCAGAAUCCUACGGGAGGCAGCCGUGGGGAAUAUUGGCCAAUGGGCGGAAGCAUGAUCCAGCAAUGCCGGGUGAGUGAUGAAGGUCGUAGGGUUGUAAAGCUCUUUUACCCGGGAUGAUAAUGACAGUACCGGGAGAAUAAGCUCCGGCUAACUCCGUG